CACAGAGCCGGGGGAAUCCAAAGCUGGGAGAUUUCCGAGACCUGCCUGCCAGUCCCACCCAGGCACAGGGCAGGUGGGUCCAGCCAGAGCAUCUUGACAGCCAGAGCAUCUUGACAGCCAGUGAGGGCAGGAUUUGGAGGGGCGGAGAGUUCCCACCACUCUGAGGUCUCCUCUUUGAGGGGUGAUCAGCCAGCCAAAUGAUCCAUCUCAUACCAGCAACCAGCUUGGGCUACAGGCAGGAAGUGGCCAGUCGAGGUGGCCACUGCGUCGUGCCCAGCUGCACCCCUGCCCUUGCCCUGAUGACUGCCACGGGCCCUGAGCCUAAUGAGGAGUCAGGUCAACUAGUAAGUGGUUUAUUCCUGGUCCUGCUGACUGAGACCAAGGUGUGGUGGCCCUCGGGAUCUGCCUACUGCCAGGAGGGAGGAACCCCACAGGGCUCCGAGGGACCCCGUGUAAAUUUCCACUUCCGGAAGAAGCUUUUCCUGGCCUCAACCCACAGCGUCUUCUCCCUGCUGUGAACCUGUGGUCUCCACCAAACAUCCUGCCCUUCUUGGAUGCACCUCAGCCUUCACCCACUUCAGCUGGCAUGCCCCCCUUGCCUGGGGGCCAGCCCCCUCUGAGCCCUGGUGGAAGUGACACUAGAAAACCCUGUGUCUGCAGUCACCAUCUGCAGGGCCACAGCUGGUCCUCCAAGAGCUCUCAGUCUCAAGAGUGCAGUCAUCAUGAGACCAGAAAGGCAUUUCACAGGUCUGAUCAGCUGGCCUCUACACCAUCUCAGGCCUGUGCAUUCCCUCCCCCGUGUUGACCGGACACCUGGGCUGGGGGCUCAGAAGACACUGGGGAACACAGGCACGGCCUGGACAGACAACAGACCUGCUCCCCUCAGCACUCACAUCCCCGUGGGCUCCGGAGAUGCUAAGAAUGAUAAAUAGAGCACCAUGCAGCAUGUAGGAUCGUAGUUCCCUGACCAGGGAUGGAAUCUGUACCCCCUGCAGUGGAACCACAGAAUCUAAACCACAGGAACACCAAGGAAGUCCAGGGUUACACCUAUUUUAUAUCAUCUGUAUUCAUUGAAUUUAUUGCUGUAAGACUGUAACAUUUGACAAUAAGAAAAAAUAACGC